rnacentral:antisense_RNA from 1 species
AUACAAGAUUAUAAAAACAACUCAGUGUUUUUUUCUUUGAAUGAUGUCGUUCACAAACUUUGGUCAGGGCGUGAGCGACUCCUUUUUAUUUUGUUAUUAAUAUAACACUAUCAAAAGAUUUGGUCUAAUCAGAUCUAAUCAGAUCAAGUCUUUUU